GGAUUAGAUACCCGGGUAGUCCUUGCUGUAAACGAUGUAUACUUGGUGUAACCGGACUCAACCCUGGUUGUGCCGUAGCUAACGCGUUAAGUAUACCGCCUGGGGAGUACAGUCGCAAGGCUGAAACUCAAAAGAAUUGACGGGGACCCGCACAAGCAGUGGAGCAUGUGGUUUAAUUCGAUGCAACGCGAAGAACCUUACCCAGACUUGACAUACAGUAGACAGGUCCAGAAAUGGGCUCUUCCUUCGGGACUGCUGAACAGGUGCUGCAUGGCUGUCGUCAGCUCGUGCCGUGAGGUGUUGGGUUAAGUCCCGCAACGAGCGCAACCCUUAUCAUUAGUUGCCAACAUUUAAGGUGGGAACUCUAAUGAGACUGCCUGGGUUAACCAGGAGG
rnacentral:rRNA from 1 species